rnacentral:ncRNA from 1 species
GCGUGCCAACGGCUUCCUGACGGCGCGCGUCGCAUGAACACAUCGGAGCA